UUUAAUUUCUUCAGAUGGUUGCAUCAGUAGCUUUGAGAAGAAUUCAUUUUUAAAGCUUUAAGUCAUCUUGAUAUCCACAGGACAGCAAAACUAAAUAUGAUCCAAGAAUGUCAAAAUGAAGUGUUUGAAUUGCAACUGUUCAUGUCUUCAUUGUACUUAUUCAUUCAUUCAGCACAAAGUAUUUGAACACCACACAAGAACUAGGCAUUUUUCAGGAAACAGGGACUUAGCAGUUAACAGAGAGAAACCCCUGCCUUAUGGAGAUUACAAUUUAGAAGGAGAUAACAUAUAAACAAAAUGCAUAAGUAAAACAUGUUAAAUAGCUGUGAAAGCUAAAGAAAACAAUGCAACUCCGUGAGGAGACAGUGCUGCAAUUUUACAGAAGGUAGCAGAGAGUCUCUCACUAAUAGGAGCUUUUGAACACAUCCCUGAAGGAAGCAAGAUAUAAGAUAUGUGGAUGUGACUGGGGAGAACUUCCGGGGCAAAGGGCACAGCAAGUACAAAAGUCAUGAAGCCCUGUGGAGCUAGUGUGUUCCAAGAUGUCAAGGGGCUGAGGAGCCUGGAGCGCAGAGCGAGCGCAGUGAUCCAAGAUGUUAACAAAUGGGAGCCAACUCAUCGCUGACUGAGGGUCACUGACAGCGACAGCGGCAAAGGAGAGAAUCAAAGAGAGAAGGAAGGAGGAUGUAGGAGCCUGACUUUGAAGACAAGGCCAUGGUACAAGUGAGAGAAAGCAGAUGCAUGAGACUGUAACUACAUUUGCAGAGCUUGACUUUUAUCUCUCACAUUCACACCUGGGAUCAGAUGCUUUCACCAUGCUUGGUUUUUCCAAAACAAUGUCUCUAACGGGACACUCAAAUGAGCCACCUCAGCUCACCUUUCAGAUGCAUAGAUCACAGCAACAAGGAAACACAUGUUAUGGGGGUUGGAGAUGUGUGAGAUUUCUCCUGUAAUGUACAGUGUGAUCCUUCCCUUCCUUCAACAACUCACCAGACAGUGUCUCUUCCAGAACUCAGCAGCUGAAAUGAUCUUUCACUAUCAGACUUCAAGUUUUCUGGGCUUAACACACAGUUAAAACUGACCUUUUUGCUCAGGAGUCAUUUGCAUGGGUUUGCAGGGUACCAUUUCCUGCUCUCCCCUUGAACUGACAGAUGUCUCUAAUUGGGAUGGUAGAUUGCAAAUCACUGAGGCUCCCAGAAGCACAGUGUUCAUUUUUCUCUUCUUCUACUGGGAUCUCCAGCUUAUCUAUUUAGAUGUCUUAAAAAAGGAUUUAAAGGCUGCAUAUUUGUUCUCUCUCACACUAUGUGCUCACAAAAGUUGACCCCAUCUGCUUCCUAAUUCCUGGGUGGGGCAGGGCCCCUCACACACCCCCAGCUCAAGCUGUAUAUCUCCUUUUAGUCCCUAGCCAAGCUGAGCUCACAUGUACCCCGUACAUGUCAGAGGUGAGUGGCAUCCAAAAAAUCCCUGUUCACUGUAAUACCAUGAGAACUUCCAACCCCUUUGAGCCUGUAUUUAAUUUCAUGGAACAAGUUCCAGGAAAUAAAUAUUUAUACUCAAAAUUACAAAUAAUAUUGAAAGAAUGCCA